rnacentral:lncRNA from 1 species
UUGCCAACAUUAGGGCUCCAACCCCAGAGUUGAGCCUUUUAGACAUAGGGCCUCCAUUCCCUAGUUGCCUUUUUACCAACACUAGGGCUCCAAUCCCUGAGUUGAGCCUUUUAGACAUAGGGCCUCCAUUCCCUAGUCGCUUUUUGCCAAUAUUAGGGCUCCAAUCCCUGAGUUGAGCCUUUUAGACAUAGGGCCUCCAUUCCCUAGUCGCCUUUUGCCAACAUUAGAGAUCCAAUCCUUGAGUUGAGCUUUUUAGACAUAGGGCCUCCAUUCCCUAGUCGCCUUUUUGCCAACAUUAGGGCUCCAACCCCAGAGUUGAGCCUUUUAGACAUAGGGCCUCCAUUCCAUAGUCGCCUUUUGCCAACAUUAGGGCUCCAAUCCCUGAGUUGAGCCUUUUAGACAUAGGGCCUCCAUUCCCUAGUCGGCUUUUGCCAACAUUAGGGCUCCAAUACCUGAGUUGAGCCUUUUUAGACAUAGGGCCUCCAUUCCCUAGUCGCCUUUUUGCCAACAUUAGGGCUCCAAUCCCUGAGUUGAGCCUUUUAGACAUAGGGCCACCAUUC